rnacentral:rRNA from 1 species
GAUGAACGCUGGCGGCGUGCUUAACACAUGCAAGUCGAACGAAGCACUUUAUUUGAUUUCCUUCGGGACUGAUUAUUUUGUGACUGAGUGGCGGACGGGUGAGUAACGCGUGGGUAACCUGCCUUGUACAGGGGGAUAACAGUUGGAAACGGCUGCUAAUACCGCAUAAGCGCACAGCAUCGCAUGAUGCAGUGUGAAAAACUCCGGUGGUAUAAGAUGGACCCGCGUUGGAUUAGCUAGUUGGUGAGGUAACGGCCCACCAAGGCGACGAUCCAUAGCCGACCUGAGAGGGUGACCGGCCACAUUGGGACUGAGACACGGCCCAAACUCCUACGGGAGGCAGCAGUGGGGAAUAUUGCACAAUGGGCGAAAGCCUGAUGCAGCGACGCCGCGUGAGCGAAGAAGUAUUUCGGUAUGUAAAGCUCUAUCAGCAGGGGAGAUAAUGACGGUACCUGACUAAGAAGCA